rnacentral:lncRNA from 1 species
AGGCUACUUCCUGGACUCUGCUGGGAUGGGUUCAAAGUAGAGAAAGUGGAAGAGGAAAGAGUUACCCCAGCGAGAACCGGGAACCGGGCUGCAGACUCUCCGGCCCGGGGGAGGGAUGAGUUUCACUCUGGUUGCCCAGGCUGGAGUGCAAUGGCGCGAUCUCGGCUCACCGCAACCUCUGCCUCCCGGAUUCAAGCGAUUCUCCUGCUUCAGCCUCCCGAGUAGCUGGGAUUACAGGCAUGUACCACUGCUCCCGGCUAAUCUUGUAUUUUUAGUAGAGAUGGGGUUUCUCCAUGUUGGUCCGGCUGGUCUCGGACUCCCAACCUCAGGUGAUCUGCCCGCCUCGGCCUCCCAAAGUGCUGGGAUUACGGGUGUGAGCCACCGCUCCCAGCCAUUCUUUAUGUAUAAUUUUGUAGUCUUUAUUCAAGGCAUACUUUAUCAUAAUCUUUCCCCAUAUUGCUAUGUAGUUUUCACAGUUGCCAUUUUUUAUGUAGUACAGUGCAGUUUCUGUAGUACAGUACACUGUGGUGCUAAAGACAGUUGGCUUUGCUGUCAGAACUGGGUUCAGAUCUGGACUCCACCCAUGACUUGUUAUAACAUGUUAGCAAUUAUUUCACUUCUUGAGUCUGAUGAAAUAGGUGGUGACAAAUUCUUAACACAGUGCCUAGAACAUCAUAAGUGGUUAAUAAAUGUCAGCUAUCAUGAUUCCUACCGUAGUUACAUUUGCCCCCCCAGAAGUUGGAUAUCUUUUUUGUGUGGUUCUGUAUAAUUAUUUUUGAACAUAAAACUUUUUAUUAUUUAGGAUUAUUAUUUUUUCUGAGUGCCAGAGAUGGAAUUGUGGUCAAAGACUACAAAGUUUUCCAAGGUCUAAGGGCCAGGCUCACUGACCCUUUUUUUCUUUCCUGUCUUUUCUGCCCCUGCCCUCCCCACCUUCAUUCCUUCCAUCCAGUCAGGCCCCAGUUGAGAAGUUAUCCCCCAACACGCCUUAAAGAAUCAGAGUUGGAUACCUUGGCCAAGCAGUCACAGUCCUACAAAAGCUCUUUGCUCUCCUCUUUCUCUCCUCUUUUCCCUUUUUGGGGAAUGUGGCAUAUGGCUCUGGGAGUGAUUUCCAAUGACUGCCCUUCUUUGGGAACAGGUGGACACUUAGGUGUCCAGUGACUGGGUUUCUAAUCCUUGAGUGGCCCCUGAUUGUCUAAUAGUGAAUACUUGCUGGGUUAAGCCUGUGGCUCAAACUGUACUGGUCAGUUUCUCUCCAGCAAAUCUGCUGGUUGGAACUGACAGGUGGUUGGUGGGAGUGGUUAGAGCAGAGGCACUAAUGGUGGGUCCUGCCUCCUGUGUUCCCCAGGGCCUGGUAGUUGAGCUUGCCCUUGGGUUCUGUAAGGUACUCAUAGAUAUGUUGGCAUGAACCAAAAGUAUCUGAGACAGGUCUCAAUUUAGAAGGUUUAUAUUGCCAAGGCUAAGGACGUGCACGUGACACAGCCUCAGGAGGUCCUGACUACAUGUGCCCAAGGUGGUUGGGAUACAGCUUGCUUUUAUACAUUUUAGGGAGACAUGAGACAUCAGUCAAUAUGUACAAGAUGUACAUUGGUUCCAUCUGGAAAGGCAGGACAACUUGAUGCUGGGGCUUCCAGGUCAUAGAUAGAUAAGAGACAAAUGGUUGCAUUCUUUUGAGUCUUUGCUCAGCGUUUCACUGAAUAUACAAUUUACAUGUGGGGAAGGGGUGAGGUGGGUGGUAGAGGAAUAGUCAUUUAUGCCUUUGUCUCAGUGGAUCUGCAUUUUUACAUAAACAACAGGGCAGAAGAAGCAAUCAGAUAUUCAUUUGUCUCAGGUGAGCAGAGGGAUGACUUUGAGUUCUGUCCUUUGUCCCACACCUAUGAAGAUAAGCUAUCCAUUUACAUUGCCAGGGUGAAAUUCAACAGAACUGUUUUAGGGUAAAGAUCUUGAUGCCCACAAGGAAUUUCCUUGUGGGCAAAUUGUGAGGGAGGUCUGUAGCUUUUUUAUCUUUGUAGCUAUCUAACUUAGGAAUAAAAUAAGAGGUAGGUUUGCCUGAUGCAGUUUCCAGCUUGACUCUUCCCUUUGCCUUAGUGAUUUUGGUGUCCCGAGAUUCAUUUUCCUUUCACAUUGUUCUGAGACUGGAAGUUCUGCAAGGACAGGGAACUGUCUCUAUGGCUCAUCAUAGUUUCCAGUGCCCAGGCACUUGAUUAAUAUUUGUUGAAUGGAUGGAUAGAUGGAUGAUGGAUGACUUGGCCUCUGGAAUCAAGAGGCAGUACAGCAUAAUGGUUGGUAUAAAUCUAGAUGUAGUCAGCUUAUGCUGGAAUCCUGGCUCUGCCACUGACUAGCCUGGGAACCUUGGGAAAAUUACAUGGCCUUAGUCUGCCAUGGUUUCCUCAUCUGUAAAAUGGGGAUGAUAGUAACCUCUCGGGAUUGUUGUGAAGACUGUCUGAGUUAUUAGAUAUAAACCAACUAUUAGAUAUAAAAGUGCCUUGCACAUAUUAGGUACUCAAUAAAUAUUAGAUACUAUUAUUGGCUUAAUUAGUCAUAAUUAGGUUUAGCAAGUAACAGAAAACCCAAAAAUAAGCUUACAUUUUUCUCUCACCUUCAGGAAUCCUAGAGGUGAUCAGAUUGUUUUCCUCAGCAUCAGAGACCGAGGCUUCUCUUGUUGCUUUGCCAUGUUUGGCUUCCAUUCCCAAGGUCGCGUCACUAAGCAAGGUGGCUGCUGGGACUCCCAUCUACUGAGGCAUUCUAGCCAGGAGGAAGGGGGAAAGGCAGAGGAAGGGCUCACCCUUGCUCUUUAAGGAUAGUUCCCAGAAGUUGUAGGUGAGCCUCCCACUUGUACCUCUUUGGCCAGAAUUUCGCCAUACCUAACGGGGGAGGGGAACAUUGGGAAAUGUAGCCCUUAUUCCUGGUGGCUGUAUGCUCAGGUGAAAACAGAGGGCUCUGCUACACGUGGAGAUGGGUGGAAUGUAUAUGGAGCCCAACCAGCUGCUCUGCUAUACCUCUUUUUAGAAUUUCCCCAUCUCUUAAAUUCUGGGAGUGUGUCUUGGUUAAUUUUGGUUCUGUUUCUCUGGAGAACACUGACUAAUCUGGGCUGCAAAGACCUGUAGUUUUUUGAUCCAGGGACCACUGCAGCCUCAGCAUUUUGCCAUUUCUCAAGUUUCUGAAUUUUUUUUUUUUUUUUUGAGACGGAGUCUCACUCCGUUGCCAAGGCUGGAAUGGGGUGGCGCAGUCUUGGCUCACUGCAACCUCCAUUUCCUGGGUUCAAACGAUUCUCCUGCCACAGCCUUCUGAGUAGCUGGGAUUACAGGCACCCGCCACCACGCCUGGCUAAUUUUUGUAUUUUUAGUAGAGAUGGGUUUCACCAUGUUGUCCAGGCUGGUCUCGAACUCCUGGCCUUAAGUGAUCCACUCACCUUGGCCUCCCAAAGUGCUGGGAUUACAGGUGUGAGCCACCGCACUGGCUGUUUCUGAAUCUUAACAAUGUUCUCUGCAGCUUGCAUUGCAAGAACUGGUACUGACUCCAACAGAGUAUCACCCAGUCUUUAAAGGAAAGAUUUACAGGUUUCAAACCUAGCUCUACAUCACAAUCACAUAGGGAACUGUAAAAAAAAUUACAAAAAUCUCAGGCCUCAUCUCAGACCUCCUAAAUAAAAUCUUGGUGGAAAGAGUAUGAGGCUCUGAAAUCUACAUUUUAAUACACAUUAAUUUAAUCUAUGGAUGAUUCUUAAUGCACCUUAAAGUUUAAGACACCCUGCUUUAAAGGUUAAAGUAUGUAAUAAAUCUUCAUUGGAGGCAAUUACCUCUUCUAGUCUAGCCUACUCACUUUCUUUCAAACAUAUGUAUUUUCUUAUAUCUACUCUUUUGCUUACAGUGAUCCCUGACUUAGACUCACUGGCUGUGAGACUUAGAAAGGGUCUUAGGAAGCCAAUCCUUUAUUUAAGCCUAUCGGAUUUGAGUUCAGCAAGGUUGAGCAACAAGUCCAAGCACACACAGUGAUUAGUGGCUAUUAGGAUUGAGAAGGUAUAUGGUGACAGCAUUUGCUGGGAUUAUCUUUAAAAUCUCCUUCCCCCCAAAUUAAGAGGUUAUACACAAUAAGGGGUUAUACACAAUUUAUUUUGCCAAGUUAGGGCAGUUCCCUCUAUAGCCUCUACAUGCUCCACCCCAUGUCUAGGUAUUGGCCUUCAGGGCUGGGUACACUUGCAUUCUCUCCAUAUCCUUUCCCUAGCUGAUACUAGGUUUCCUUACAACCACCAUAUGCUAAUGUCUCCCGUCAAUAAAUAUCUGAAGACUUGUGUGCAAAACGACAGAUUUGAAAGUGAAAUAGAUUGGUUGCCAUUAGCAAUAUUUGGGAAAAAUUCUGGUCUCUUUAUUGGGGGAGUAAAUCUGUAACUCCAGAAAGGAAAUGGGAAUAAAUAUUCUGUAGUGAAGAAAUGAAUACAGAACAGAAGCUUCUAUGAUCCUUGUUCUGCUUUGUGUAGGAUUUAAGGUUCUUGAAAUAGCCAAGUGAAUCUGAUUUGCUACAUUUAUACAUUUAGGUAAUUAAUUUACAACAGUUGCUUAAAUGCUUAGAAAGGUUUUGCUUUUUAGAUUUGUAAGUCUGCCCUAUUGGGCAUUUAAAGUGAGAAAAUCAGGCAUAUUAAAUUGAUAAUUGUAGUUUUAAGUGUCUAAGGAAAUUUGAUUAAGGAGGUAAGUCUUAUUAAAUAUUAAGGAGGAUUGAAUAUACUAAACUUAAGAAUUAACAGUAAUCAAAGAACAAGUGAAAGUGAUUGUUCUUAUCUUUACACAAGAAAUUGCUAGAUUUAAAAUGGAAUAACAAGAUUUUGUUCUUAUCUUUAUACAAGAAAUUACUAGAUUUAAAAUGGAAUAACAAGAUUUGUAAAUUGAACUUAAAGUUUAAGAAAGGCUAGGUUUUUAAAUGGACAACUUGAGUCAGUGACUGUAAGAUUCCUGUCCAUACCCAAACCUACCCCCAGAUAUUUAAAGGCACAGGUCAAUAACUCCCAGUUUUAUAGUUCCAGCUGAGACCUCUCCUUUGAACUCCAGACAGCAACACUUCAGCUCCUUGCUUGAGGUGCUCCAGAGGCAUCACAGACCAAGAUGUUCAAGUUGAAACAUUCUCUGACUCCGAAUCCAGACUCCAUAAACUGUGCCACCUGUACCUCCUUUAACUGCCUCUCACCACAUCCUGAGGCCACUCAUCAUUGAGGCCAUUUUCUUUCUUUCUUUCUUUCUUUUUUUCAUAUUUUUGAGAUGGAGUCUCGCUUUGUUGCCAGGCUGGAGUGCAGUGACGCGAUCUCAGCUCACUGCAACCUCCGCCUCACGGGUUCAAGCGAGUCUCCUGCCUCAGCCUCCCGAGUAGCUGGAAUCACAGGCGCGUGCCACCACACCCACCUAAUGUUUGCAUUUUUAGUAAAGACGGGGUUUCACCAUGUUGGCCAGGAUGGUCUCGAUCUCUUGACUUCGUGAUCUGCCCACCUCGGCCUCCCAAAGUGCUGAGAUUACAGGUGUGAGCCACCACGCCCGGCCGAGGCCAUUUUCUUCUACCUCCAAUAGAUACAUUUAGAAUCUGUCUCUUUUACUUCAUUUCCCACAGCUAACAGUCCAUUCCAGGCCACCAUCACACCAUCAUCUUUUGCCUGAAGUGCAUAAGCCUCCAACUUGGUCCCUAAACUUCUCUACCCAGUGAGCUCUACACAAACCAGACCAUGCUCCCUCCCCAUUAAGGCCCCUCACAGCUUCCCAGUGCAUUCUGACAGUGCUCUCUGCACCUCUUCGCCCUGUCCCACAAUGCAUGAGCUCUCUUAUUCUUUUUUUUAUGAGACAGGGUCUCACUCUGUUGCCCAGCCCAGAUUGUAGUGGUGCAAUCAUAGCUCACAACAGCCUUGACAUCCUGGGCUCAAGCGAUACCCCCAUCUCAGCCUCCUGAGUAGCUGGGACUACAGGCAUGCGCUACCACGCUUGGCUAAUUUUUUGUAUUGUUUGGAGAGAGGGGUUUCCCUGUGUUGCCCAGGCUGGUCUUAAACUCCUGGGCUCAAGUGAUCCACCCACCUCAGGCUCCCAAAGUGCUGGGAUUAGAAGUGUGAUUCAUGCCUGGCGUUUUGUUUUGUUUUGUUUUGUUUUUUUUGAGACAGGAUCUCACUCUGUUACCCAGGCUGGAGUGCAGCACUAUGAUUAUAGCUCACUGCAGCCUCCAACUCCUGGGCUCAAGUGAUCCUCCUGUAGCUGUAGUCUCCCAAGUAGCUGGGACUACAGGCACAUGCUACCAUGCCCAGCUAAUUUUUAAUUUUUUUUUUAUAGAGAUAGGGGUGUGCCUGUGUUGCCUAGGCUGGUCUCAAAAAAUUCCUGGGCUCAAGCAGUUCUCCCACCUCACCCUCCCAAAGUGCUGGGAUUAUAGGUGUGAACCACGGCACUGGGCCUGCCUUAUUCUUCCUUAAAUUUCUCAAGUAAGCCAUCCUUUUUCCUACCUCAAAGUCUUGCAUUUGCAGUUUCCUUGGCCUGGAAUGCUGUUUCCUUCCUACUGGCUUCAUUCUUCAAAUCUCAACUUAAAUGUCACCUCCACAGAGAACCUUAUCUGAUUAAAAGGAGUUGGAUCCCCCACGACCACCACUAUUCUCUAUCCAAUGUCUUUUCUUAUUAGCAUUUAUCAUAAUAUGCAAUUAUUCUGUUUGUUUUGUUGUUCCUCAAGUGUUUCUUCUAUUAGAAUGUAAGCUCCCUGAAGGCAAAAACCACAUCUAUCUUGUUCCUGUAGUUCCAAUGCAUAGAACACAAAUUCUCCGAUUCUGGUGGCUAAUAGAGUAGGGACUCAGUAAACAUUUUAAAAAUAAAAUAAAUGUACUCAACUAUACCAAAAGAUUUAUUAAGCAAAAAAGGUAAGAUACAAAACAGUAUGUAGUGUGGAAUUCCAUUUAUAUUUUGUAAAAAUUUUGUGCAGACACACACACACACGUGCAUGCACAUUAAGGAUACACAAAAAACUAGUAACUGUGGUUGCCCCUAGGAUAGGGACUAUGACUCAAGGGAGAGAAGAUAGAAGUAAUUUUAAUUUUAUAAUCAUUGUUCCUAUUUGGAUUUUUGUUUUACUACAUGUCUAUAUUUCUUUUAUAAUAAUAAAAAUACCAUCUAGUACUGUUAUUUUAAAAAGGAAAUAUGGAAUAGCAAAAAAAAAAAAAAAAAGGAAGAAUCUUAGAAUAACAGUCAUUUAAAUGGAACAAAUUUGUCCUUAUGAAAACCCCACAACAUUGUCCUUUUUUUUUGCAUUCCACUGAGGACCUGGGAAAGCUUCCUCCAGCCCUGAUGCUGGCCUGCAGUAUGGCACUUGACAGCUACUGGUAUUGUGGAUAGAAGCAAAGGCUCUGGACUCAGCAACACUUGGUUUGAAUUCCAGUUCUACCACUUACUAGCUGUGGUGCUGCUGACAACUUAAACUCCAUGAACCUCAGUUUUCUUCAUCUGUAAGGUGGGAUAACAGUACUUCUCUAAUAGGGAUAUUGUGAGGAUCAAAUAUGAUGAUCUAAAGCAGUUAGCACAAUAUCUUGCACAUAGUAAGUGCUUAAUAAGUGGCAGUUAUUAUUUCAUACAUUAUAAGGUGAUACCCCUGAACUUCCAUUGUAUCCAGAUUCAGAUUUCUGCAUGUUAAAGGACACAUCAUAUUGCAAGACGAUAGGGUGGUACUGCCUAUCAGCCAAUUGUGUAGGCUCCAGAUCCAUCAGCACAGCAAUGAUUGGGAAAGUACUUGAUUAUUCCAUGUUAUCCUCAUUUUAUAAAAUUUUGUCAGUGGAAAAUGGAAGUACCAAUAGUAGUGAUAAGAAGUAUGCAUCUGUCAAGUAAGUGAAAAUACAACCCACUGAAUGGGAGAAAAUGUUUGCAAAUCAUAUAUAAGGCAGUGGUCCACAACCUUUUUGGUACCAGGGACCGGUUUUGUGGAAGACAAUUUUUCCACGGUUGGGGGUGGGGAGGGGGUUGGGGGUGAGUGGGGAUGAUUUCAGGAUGAAACUGCUCCAUCUCAGAUCAUCAGGCAUUAGAUUCUCACAAGGAGCACCCAACCUAGAUCCCUCCCAAGUGCAGUUCCCAGUGGGGUUCACACUCCUGUGAAAAUCUAAUGCUGCCGAAGAUUUGACUGGAGGCAGAGCUCAGGUGCUAAUGCUCCCUUGCCUGCUGCUCACCUCCUGCUGUAUGGCCCCAUUCCCAACCAGUACCUCUCCAUGCAGGUGUGGGGAGGCAAUGCGGUGUGGGGAGGCAAUGCGGUGUGGGGGUGUUGGGAACUGCUAUGAUAAGGAACUUGUAUUCAGAAUAUAUGCAGAACUCUUAUUACUCAAUAAUAAAGAGACAAAUAACCCAAUUGAAAAGUGGGCUAAGGGUUUGAAUAGACAUUUCUCCAAAGAAGAUAAACAAAUGGCCAAUAAGCCCAUGCAAAGAUGCUCAACAUCCUAAUCACCAGGGAUAUCAGAAGGGAAAUGCAAAUCAAACCUGCAAUUAGGUAUUACUUCACACCUACUAGGAUGGCUGUAGCCAAUAAGACAGACAAUAACAAGUGUUGACAAGGAUGUGGAGAAAUUGAAACCUACAUAUAUUGCUGGUAGGAAUGCAAAAUGGUAAAACACUUUGCAAAACAGUGUAUCAAUUCCUCAAAAAAAAUUUUUUUUUUUUUGAGACGGAGUCUCUUGUCACUGAGGCUGGAAUGCAGUGGCAUGAUAUCAGCUCACUGCAACAUCCACCUCGUGGGUUCAAGUGAUUCUCCUGCCUCAGCCUCCCAAGUAGCUGGGAUUACAGGCACCUGCCAUCAUGCCCGGCUAAUUUUUGUAUUUUUAGUACAGACGGGGUUUCACCAUGUUGGCCAGGCUGAUCUUGAUCCUGACCUCAGGUGAUCCACCCACCUCGGCCUCCUAAAGUGUUGGGAUUACAGGCAUGAGCCACCUCACCCAGCCCAAUUCCUCAAAAUUUUAAAAUAGAGUUACUUUAUUAAUCAGCAAUUUCACUCUUAGGUAUCUGCCCAAGAGAAAUGAAACAAUUCAUCCACACAAACACUUUUACAUGAAUGUUAACAGCAGCAUUAUUCACAAUAGCCAAAAGGUGGAAACAGCUCAAAUAUCCAUCAACUGAUGAAAGGAUAAACAAAAUGUGGUAUAUUCACACAAUGAAAUAUUAAUGAUACAAAGGAAGUGCUGACACAUGCUGCAACAUAGAUGAACUUUGAAAAUAUGCUAAAUGAAAGCAGUUACAAAAGACCACAUAAUGCAUGAUUUGAUUUAUGUAAAUGUCCAGAAAGGGCAAAUCCAUAGAUACACUAUAGAAAAUAGAUUAGUCGUUGUCAGAGGCUAAAGAGAGUAGGGAGGAUUGGGAUGGGGAGUGACUUAUGGGUACAGGGUUUCUUUUAGGGGGACAAAGAUAUUUUGGAAUUAGUAGUGAUGGUUGCACAACCUAGUAAAUAUACUAAAAUAUAUGAAAUUGUACAUUUUCAAUGGGUGAAUUAUGUAGUAUACGUGAUUUAUAUCUCAACAAAAAGGAGUUUAAAAAGAAGUAUGUGUAUCAUUGACUCUUUCGAUAUAAACAUAGAAAUCAUUAGACUUAUCGAAAGGGAUGAAUCUUUAGCCUCCAUGGGAUGUUCUUAAGCCUAUUGCUGUUUUUUGAUUUGUGAAGGAAAAUAAUCAAAUUGAAGGUACAUUAGGAAGGACAGCAAACAUAUGAUCAGCGAUUGUGUCUAAAAAUGCAGGUGUAAUUGGACAUGCUGUACCACUUUUUAUUCCCAACAUAAAUUUGUUGUUUGACUUUUGUACUUUUGACAUUAGUAAUAUUUUCUGAAAUAAAUUGUGUAUGGAAGCAGGGGACUGUGUUUACUGUGUCAUGGGGAAGGCAAAUGAUCUCUCAGCCCUCUUCACUUCCCAUUUGUUUAAUGCUGAACCAUCAAGCAAACUUCCUCUAGGGAAUAAUUCAGCUGGUACCAGGAGACUGCACAUAAUUAUUUGGGCCACUGGAAAAUUCUAAUGCCCAUGAAAAAAUAGCUUUUGGUUUAUAGAUCAGUCUUUUGUGAAUUUGGGCAGGAAAAGUCAGCCCUGGAAAGUGGUUUUAUUUUGACCAUAACUAAAUAUGCAAAAAAUAGUAGGAUAAAUAAUGAGAUUAUUAAUAAAUCUCACAAAACUGUAAUUCUAAGGUUUAGCUUUAGUUUGGUUGGUUCAUCAACAGCUCAACAAUUUUGGAGGUCCAAAUCUGUUCUGGUAAGAGCUGGGGAUAAAAUGGUGGAUGAUAUAGACACAGCCUUGCUUGCCCAAAGUCAAGUGGAAAAGUAACAUAACAUAAGAGUGAAUAACAUAAUUAUGCAUUAUUCAUAGAUUCCAUUAUUAUACUCAUUCACAGAUUCCAGAUUUACAAUUUACCUACUCUCUAAAAUGUAUUUGUAAUCUCAAAAAUCAAUGCUCUUGGCCGGGUGCAGUGGCUCACGCCUGUAAUCCCAGCACUUUGGGAGGCCGAGGUGGGUGGAUCACCUGAAGUCAGGAGUUCAAGACCAGCCUAACCAACAUGGUGAAACCCACUCUCUACUAAAAGUACAAAAAUUAGCUGGGCAUGGUGGCGGGCAACUGUAAUCCCAGCUACUCGGGAGGCUGAGGCAGGAGAAUCACUUGAACCCGGGAGGUGGAGGCUGCAGUGAGCCGAGAUCGCACCACUGCACUCCAGCCAGGGUGACAGAGCAAGAUCCUGUC